rnacentral:lncRNA from 1 species
GAUUGUGUAUGAAGGUUAUGAGUCGGUCGAUAAGUAAUCAAUCACUCUUAGUAAAAGGAGAUGUUAUCCUAUGUAUUAUCAUCUUUAGAUGACUCAGAAAAUCUUUGAUCAAAGUAGAAUGAAGAUUAGAAAGAGUUUCUAAUAUUUCAUCAUUAGAGUCAUCGUUGAUUAAUGGAUAAUCGAUAUGAAUAUGUAAUUAAGUUUGACAUGAACCAUACUCAUAAAUAUAUUCGAGAUGUGGG